AUUAUUGGAAGACAACUAGAAAGAGGGUCCACGGAUGACUCCAGGAGUCUGGGUUGGCUGAAACCCCGGGAAGAAAGACUUCUCCAAUGUACACUGAUGGUGGGCUCUUCGCCUUUAUGGCUUUCUCUGCUAUCAGCAAGGGCUGACUCAGCAUCCUCUGGACUGUGAGCCAAUGCUGCUAUUUCAGAGGGGGCCAAUUCAGGCACAACAGCAUCUGCCUUUAGACUAUCAGGUACAGCCCAGACCUUGUCAGGAAUUAUGAGACCACCGUCUGAUGCCUUGCUCUCAGAAUUUGUCAGUUGUCGUGGUGGCCAGAUUUCAGAAGCGGAAGCCUCUAGAGUUAUAAUCUUCAGCUUGUUGCCUGCCUCCCAAUUUCCAGGUCUAUAUUCUUUAGACUCUUCCAAAAGGAUAUCAGAGAGAGAUGGAACGUUGCUCAGAGCCUGACUGUCUUCUUCCCCAGCAGUUUCAGCCACCACGGAGACCCUCGUCCCCCAACCUGAGCGCUGCCCUGCUCCUUCCCUAGAGCUUGCGGGUGAGUGGGCCGUGGGCACCAAGUUUCUUUCCUCUUGUGCAGCAGAUGUCGUAGGCAAACUUUGUUGGAAAUCAGGUGCAGAAAGAGAACCCUGCUGGGACAGGCUCUGCUGCUGGACCCCCUGCUUUGUUUCACUUCCUCUUUCUUGGAAAUUCUCUUCAUAGCUCCUAAAGUCUGCUCUGUCCACAGUCUGGCUCUUAUCUCCAGACAGGUUAUCAACCUGAAGAGGGGAAUUACUGCAGAAACCCUCUCCCUCUGGGAGCUGCAGGACAUGGUGUGGGACUCCUGGCACACUGGGUGCCCUGCAAAGUAGCUCUUUUGUAGAUUUGAUGGUAGCACCACUUAAAAUAUGAUCCAACUGCACUUGGGAAGGAAAUUGGGAAACCUUUUCAUGGGAUGCACGAGGGAACCUCUCCUCAGUGCCACCUGCAUGCUUGUCCUCAGGAAUUGACACAGCAAGGUAUUUGGCUGGGUGGACUUCGGUGGCAAUGGUAACAGUUGAUGUGUCCUCAGUCUCCCUGGUCGCUUGAAAGCACUCAUUAUUAGCAGUUAAUGUUGUUGGCUUCUCCCAAGGAAAACUCACAAUUGAACUAUAACUGGCUGGUGUGGCUGUGGUGUCUGCGGCACUAGGACUGGGGCUCUUGUCACCUCCUUCUUUAAAUUGCACUAAAGGAUUGUUCUCAGAAGAAAGGAGCUGUGUUUCAUCAAGCCCUCCUGAGUUGCUGGGGCUUGGCUGCUCCUGGCCAGCAUGUACUGUGGAGGCCAGUGGGUAGGUGGAAUUCUCCACCUUGGCUAGAUUUUCUCCUGUGGCACCUUCACUAGCUGUGUGUGAAAUGUUCAAGGUGAAAGUACUGGUAAAAAGAGGGGACAUGACUGAGUUGCCGUCCUUGCUGCUUUUGCACGUAGACACUGAAGUCUCAGACACUUGUGUCUGAAAAAAGACUUCCAGUGUCUUGUCAUUAGAAGAACAUAAAUCAGAUACUUUGUUUUGACCUUCUGCCAGUUCCGUAUCUACAGAGCAAAUUUCUUGAGGCGAAUAUUUAUCAACUGGUCUCCCAACAAGAGAAUCUAUGGUAUCAAAACACGUUCCUUGGUCACCAGCCUCAAAACACUCCAUUGCACACACUGCUUCUCUGUCCCUUGGCUCAUCACACACAUUUUCCAGGGUGAGGGCAGUAUCUGUGGGUUCAGGGGAAGCAACAGAGACAGCCACAGGCUCCCUGAAGUCAGCACGAGCAUCCUUGGGGAGAUGCCUUGAGAACACACCUGGGGACAUAGUCUCAUCAUUGGCUUCUGAGAUGCUCUGCUCAUAUUUUAGGUCUUCCCUGAAAUUGUCAGGUAUGUUGCCAUCUCUGUCUUGUUUUUCUUCAUGCUGUGGACCACAGGUACAGGGUUUGACCUCCGAGUGUUGAGCUAAUGAUGCAUUUUCCUUGUGGACCCCUCCUAAGUUUGAGAAGGAAAUUGUUGUGGUCCCAGUGAAUGGGGACUCCUCCCCAGCAGGCUCUGAGAAAGCUGGCAUCUGGCUGCAAGAGAUUGUCUCUCUGACUGUUUCCUGAACUUGUACCUAGGAAGAUGAAAAGUGAUAUUAGUAGAAUUGUUCAUGGGAGAGCCCACAAUAGGGCAUAACUGCAAUCCCAAGAGUGUUAAUCCUCAAUGACCGUAAUAAUGGACAAGAAUGAUUGAAAUCUAAACAUUAAUCCCCCAACUCCCUCUAGCUAUUAGAGAUUUCCUAGAAAACUGCAAAUUUAAGCAACUCUGUGUUCCAGGGGGCCCUUUGUCAAAUUCAUCAUUAUAAGCAAAAAGCCUCCUGACAACCAUCAUUUAUUUAAUGAUUUCUUUCUCUCUUAGGAAAUAGAUGGAAAUAAAUCGAAUGUUAACUGUUUUGAUCAAGUAAGUCACAACAAGAGCUGUGCGCAUCUUUCCAGAAAGAUGAAUCUCACAUGAUCAUAAUAAAUGAAAUAAACAGUACUUGCAAAACAGCAAUAAGCAAUCUUUGUCCCCAAAAUAUAACAGCUUGCUGGUUAAUAAUUGCUAUGGUUUGGAUAUUUGCCCCCUCCAAACCUCAUGUUGAAAUUUGAUCCUCAGGGUUGAAGGUGGGGCCUAAUGGGAAGUGUUUGGGUUAUGGGGGUGGAUCUCUUACGAAUAGAUUUAUGCCAUCCCUCAGGGGUGGGGGGAAUGAGUGAGUUCUCAAUCUAUUACUUCCUCGUUGUUAAAAAGAGUCUGGCACCAUCCCCACCCCCACCCUGCUUCCUCUCUGUCCAUACUAUCUCUGAAAAUGCCAGCUCCCCUCUGCCUCCCAUCGUGAGUUGGAAGCAGACUGAGGCCCUCACCAGAUGCAGAUGCCUAAUGUUGAACUUUCUAGCCACCAGAAUCAUGAACCAAAUAGGCCUCAUUUCUUGAUAAACUACCCAAUCUCAGGUAUUCUGUUAUAGCAACAUGAAGUGCACUAAGAUAACAAUGUUACUAAAAAACAGAGAGAAGGCUGCCUUUGAACCCACCUCUAAUGAAUAAAUGGACUUAUGAUUGGCCACCAGCACUGCCAAUCAUUUCUUUCCUAGAGAAGCUUAUAAACAUCCCAGAAUGUAUCCCAGACUUUAAAAUAGAUGCCCAGUGGCAGGCAGACCACCUCUACAGGAAAUAGAAGAUUCAGGACUGCUUAGGUUUUUGAGAAAAGGGGAGAGGGGGAGGGAGGGAGGAAGAGAGGAAGGCAGAGAAAAAGAAACCUCACAUUCUGAGGAUUGAGCCUUUCAUGGUACUAUAUGAACGUUCCAUGAUAUUGGAUAUUGUUCAAGGAAGCAGCAAACUCUUUGACUAAAUCCUUGUCUCAUGAAACUUUUAGCUCAUUGAUUAUUUCAAAACAAAGAAAACUUAUGUCCAGCCAAGGAGAAGAAAAUUACUUCUAAUUUCUGAAGCAACUCAGUCUUUGCUCCCAGGACUCCUGCCUUGGACAGCCACAUUCAGAUGUGCAGGGAACAGAUGACUGGCCUUGGCGGGAUGGGGUUCAGGGGUGGGGAUGAAGUCUGUCUCCCAGCGUAUGACAAAACAGAGCUGAAAUGUUCAUGGGCAUAUUAUGGCUCCAAUGUCAUGAGAUUGAUUCUCAUAAAUCAUACAUGACAGUCAGUCUUACUACCUUGUGGUCAAUCCCUGUAUGUACUGCCCGUGGGAAGCAGGACAACAGCAUAAUCACACCUCUUUCCACACUUCCCCCAGGCUGCUUACAGCCUGUCAGUCAUGCAUCUCUCAUUUUCUCUUUUAAAGCUACUUUGAGGUUCAUUUAACUCAUAUUUGAUGGGCAUAAAAAUGCUAACUAAACAAGAAAGAAAUUUAAUAUAAACUCCAUGAGGGCUAGGACUACUUAAUCUUUUCAACAAAUAUUUAGUGAAUGCCUCCAAAGUACUAGGGAGUGUUUUAGAUAAUGGGGAUACAAGACAGGCAAAUGCUCAUCUACAAGGAGCUCCCAUUCUGUGUUCUAGUGAAGGCCUGUUAUAGCGAUUAGCAUGCGGUAGAUGCUUACUAAGUGUUUGUUGAGAGAAUGAAUAAAUGAAUGAACCAUGUACCAGUUGAGACAGCUGUAGCCAACUUCACCCAUUAAAGCUCUACACUUGAAAGGGUUUGAACUUUCAUCUGCUCCUGACUUUGCAACAACCCCAUUUUAAAAGAGACUUUGAACCCUAAGCACUACUGGUUAUCCUGGUGUUCCCGGAAAGAAAAGUAUAUUUAUUCCCUUUCUAUAUCCCUUUUUCUUCUUUAUUAAAAAGAAGAAAUAUCAUUUCUGGGAAAUAAGGGAUAAGGUAUUUUUUUAAAAGAGUUUGAUGUGCAUAUGCUUUCCUCUCUAUACCUCAAUAUCUGUAACACAUGUAAAGAGUACUUUUCUGGUUUGGUAUUUUGGUUCAGCCUUUUAAGAAUAUGCUAUAGCACAAAUAGACUGAGUCAUUAAGCACAGAAAACAUGGGGAACUUCCUGGUCAUUAUGUGAAAUGUAUAGAGAGACUGCCCCAUCAAAAGCACCACCACCCCUCUCUCCGGCCUUUCUAUCCUGCCUGCAUUUCCACUACCUAUGUCAGUCCCUUAUUUUAAGGUCCUGGUAUUAUCACAGUAUCAUCAGUGUCAACAGACAUUUAUGGAGUAGCUGUCAUGUGCAGAAUUCUCUGUCAGGCACUGGGCAAUUUUUUCCAAAGGGCUUCAGUUAAAAAGUUACUAUGAUAUUUACUGGGAUGGUACCUUUAUUCUUCCGUGAUUGAUUACUAUUACAUCAGCAAAGUAAUAAGCGGGUACCUAGAAGAGACUGACCUCUGAAGAGAAUUAAACACAGGACAAGUUUUCAUUAGGAUGAGCUUGGUCACUGGAAUAGAUCAUCAUAGUAUCAUGCCGUGAUUUACAAAAUAAUCAUAUUCCAUUGAGAUUUAUUUGCACCUUUCCUCUUGUAUUAGUCAGUUCUUGCACUGCUAUAAAUACCUGAGACUGGGUAAUUUAUAAAUGAAAGAGGUGUAAUUGGCUCACGGUUCCACCGGCUAUACAGGAAGUAUGGUGGCAACUGCUUCUGGAGAGGCCUCAGGGAACUUUACUCAUGGCAGAUGGCAAAGCUGAAGCCCACAUCUUGCCCGACAGGAGCAGGACCAAGAGCGAGCAAGGGGGAGGUGCCGCACACUUUUAAACAACCAGAUCUCACAAGAACUCACUCAUUGUCACGAGACCAGUACCAGGAGAUGGCGCUAAGCCAUUCAUGAGGAACCACCCGCAUCAUCCAAUCACCUCCCACUGGGCCCCACCUCCAACAUUGGGGAUUACAUCUCAGUGCAAGAUUUGGUAGAGACACAGAUCCAAACCAUAUCGCCCCUCUUACUUUUAAAUUAAAAUUCUACUUCAAAAUACCCUAGUGAAUCUCCACAUGUAAAAAAAUUGGUUGAAUCCUUGACCGUGUAAAUUCAUACAUUUGACACACAUUUAGUGACCAUCUACUUUAUACCAGGCACUGUUCUAGGCAGCUGGGAAACAUCAAUGAACAUAACAGAGAUUGCUGGCCUGUGGAAGUUACGUUGAAGCAACAAACCGUACAACUGGCCCGCUGCUGAUAAGCAAUUCCAUAAAUUUGAUUUUAACCAAUGGGGUUUUUUUUGAAGUGAAGCCUUUAACAGCCCAGUUCAUAUUUGUACUUGCUUACGGCAUCAGUUUCAAGAGCAGGCUCCUCGGUUCUCAUCCAGAGGCCAGCUCACAGAGAAAGGGAAACCACAGACUCACACCUUCCCAAUGAGUCAGACCUUUCUUUUAGGAGGAGAUUUCUUAGUUAAGUCAUUACAAAAGAAUGCUAGCAAAUGAUUCUUCUGCUGUGCACCUAUUCUCAGCAUAGAAUGAGUGCUGAAACUUCGAGUGAGUGCUGACACAAUUUCCUUAUGUAGGGAAAUUGUACUCAUUCAAGUGAAAAAAGGAGUGUUUGGGGCUCUAGGAGUAAGCCCAACAUAGUGUGUGGUGCGUGGACUUGGAGGACUAGCAACCAGCGUUUGUAGCCCAGCUUAAUUGGAUAUAGCAUGCAUGACCACGGGUAACCUCUUUAGCUUCUCUGACCCUCUGUCUCCUCCUCUAAGACUAACCACAUGCAUGUCUGCACCAUCUUGUCAAGUGCCUGACAUAUUGCCUGGUGCCCAGAAGGCACUCACUCACUGAUACUAAUUUUCCUUCUUCUCUGUGAAAAAACAGCAGUAGCUCAGGAAAAGAGGAAGUUGGGGAGCUCUGACAGGCAGAGCCUUGAGCUAUGAGCUUUAUGAGGGUUUUCUCAUCUGAUCCGUAAAAUAAAUCUGAGAAAAAGAUGUUAUCAUCUCUUCUUUACUGAUGAGAUGAAUAGCCUAGGUCCAAUCAUAGAAACCACACAGUAGGUUAUAUAAGAGAAGUUCAAUAUAAAGAACUAUUGACUGUGAUAGAAGAGUGCUAUAAGGUAUAAGGAAACUGUCUAUAGUACUCUAGGUAAGGGAAAGUACCAAGGAAGGACAAAGUUGGAAGAGGUUUAGACCUACUUGGAGAAGGUGUGGUUAGGCCACCAGAUAGCACAGAAGUUCACUGGUGCAUCCAGACCAGAGCUGGCCUGGAAUUGCCGAGAAAAGCAAUAGACCUCCCUUCCAAGUGCAGGCCAGGAGUAGGUGGUCAGCAUGCAGUGGCGUGGGUGUGCAGGGGAGUCUGGGCAUGGGUGGUCACAGGGGCUGAAGCCUUCAGAGCUUGUGGGCUACAUGUGGUGUGGGUCAGGAGUUUGCAGAGUGCUAGUUUGAAUGUCCACUCAAAACUCAUAUUGAAACUUAAUCCCCAGUGUGGCAAUACUGAUGGGUGGGGCCUUUAAGAGGCGAUUGAAUCAUGGGAGCUCUGCCCUCAUAGAGGGAUUAAUCCAUUUAUGGAUUAAUGAAUUAAUGGGCUGAAGGAUUGAUACGUUAUCAAGGGAGGGGACCUGGAGGCUUCAUAAGAAGAGGAACAGAGACCUGAGGUGGCAUAGAGCGUGCUUAGCCCCCUCGCCAUGUGAUGCCCUGCUCUGCCUUGGGACUCUGCAGAGAGUCCCCAGCAGCAAUAAGGCCUGCACAAGAUGCAGGCCCUCUGCCUGGGACUUCUCAGUCUCCAGAGCUGUAAGAAAUACAUUUCUUUUCUUUAUAAAUUUCCCAGUUUCAGGUAUUUUGUUACAAGUAAAGAAAACGGACUAAGUCACAGAGGGAACAAGUGCUCUGUGCACCAGACCUCAGGCGGCUAUGUGUAGACCACACAGGAGCUUGUGGAGGCAGUCUGUGCGUUGAUACAGGCAGGAGGCUUUAAGAGCUGGGGGCCAUGCGGGGCUCUGGGUUCCAAAGAGAGAGGGCAGCAGAAAGGGUAUCACUACACUAAGGCUACAAGGUUGCAGAUGACCACGUUCUGGGGCCCAUGGCUGAGGCAGGAUGACCACAGGCUCUCCAACUCCACCAAUGCUGAAAUGACAGGAAUUCUCUUCCUCCUGCAGUGUCCUUCCAGUGCCUUCUGCUGAGAAAGCGUAAUACUGUGCUUACUUUAAAGAAGAAUAAUGGAAUUUCGUUAGUACAGGGCACAUAUUAAAGGGUGAAUUCAGAGCUGAGAGGAAUGAAUUAAAAACCGACACAUGAGGUCAAUGAUGUUUGGGGAUGAGAAGUCUCCCCAGGGUCCCACAGUCAAAGGCAGAGCCAGGAUUUAAAGCCAAGUCUGUGAGGCUACAGAGCCCUUUCCAACCCAGCAUUUCUAAUCAGGUAAGUUGGAAUAAACCUCACCUCACCAAGGGCUGGGAACUUCCCCUAAUUUAAGUCCAGAACUUCUAAGCUCCUGAAACACUUUGGAUAUGAAACUGCAAAUGUCCUUCUUAGGUGCAACAUGGCCAUCUCUCAAUUUCUCUACUUCCCUACAAGGUCUAAGGGUAGGGACUCAGUUAUUCAUUUCUGAGUCUCCAGAGCCUAGCACAUAGGGACUCAAAUAAUUUUGCUGAAUGAAUAAGCAGAUGAAUGAAUACAGGAGGGGAAAGGGUAAACCAAAUUUAGUAAUGUUUCCAAGCCUCUUUUUGAAAGCAGCAUUAAGCUUGGAAACUUAACGCUUGAAUAGCAUUUUUCAAUUGAAACCCCAUUCAACAUGCCUCUGAUUCCACAAACAUAUUAUUUUCACUUAUUGGCCUUUCCAAAGUUCUGCCUCCUAGGAAUGUCUGCCAUGGAUUUAAUGGAAAGGUGUGUUUCCUCUUUGUGCACCCCAGGAUGUUCAAGGUUAUGCUUUUCAUCAUUAAUGAGUGUCUUUCAUGCCAGCCAAGUGCAUGACACUAAUUUGAGUCACUAACAAUAGAAGGUUGUAUGAGAUAAGAUCCCUCUCCUCAAAUAGCUUAUAAUCCAGUUGAAGAGACAAGAUGUACAUGGAAAACAAGAUGUACAUAGAUAACAAUUCUUGACAAGUUGUGCUAAUAGCCAAGUGGAUGAAACUUAACUAACAACGCUGCUCCAGGACAGAGUGUGGAAGGUCACCACUGUAUCAUCCUCUUCCAUUUCAACGAUAAAAUUCCUGCAGUGCAGAAAUCAGAGGUUGUAAUCUUACGUCAUAUGUUUCAAUUCUAAGAUACUUCUUGAACAUUUCCAUGCAGUCUAAGGGACUUCUCUACUGAUUGGAAUGGGCAGAUGUGGUAGAUACUGUUGGCUGACUAAUUCAACAGUACCGCCAAUCCCCUUGUCUCUUGCUACCUCCAACUAAGAAGGCUGGAAAACCACACACUCUCCCAGCCUCUUACAUAGCUAGAUGGGGCAAAGGGGUCAGUCUGCCUAAUGAGAUGUUCAAGGAAUCCCACCAAGGGACUUCUGGGGAAGCUUUGCUUUCCUUGUGUAAGGUAUAGACAUGGUGGGUACCUUGCCUAUCCCCUCCUUCUUCCUUCAAUCAGGAUGUAAUGCCUGGUGCUGCAGCUCUCAUCUUCCAGUCCUGGGGCAUGAAAAUGAAAAGCCAGCACACUAUGACUGGUGCAGCAGAAAGAGAGAAGGAAGUUGGAGAUUUGCAGUCAUCGUCGAGCUACUGGAAUGACACACAGACUUUCACUAGCCCCAGACUUCUUGUGAACUACAAAAAAAAAAAAACACACACACACACACACACUAUUAGCUAGCUGACUAUUCUGUUAACUGCAGCUUCUCAGCAGCCUAAUGGAUAGAAGAGAAAAAUAUAUGGCUGAGGGAAGAAGGGGAAGCCAGGUGAGGGUCACCUUGGAACCCUCUGGAGGCUCUGGGCAGCUCCUGGUAGGGAUUAGCUGGAAGGGGACAGUGUCCCGUAGAGCAAGGGGUGUGGUCCCUGGAAGGGAGCUCAAGGUGCUGGUCAAAAUGCCAAGGGAUCAAAGGGCCUUAGGCAAGGUGAACUUGAAGUAGAGUGGGGGAGGGAGAAUGGGAAAUAUGAGAAGAUUGAUUGUCAAAGGAGAGAGGCCACAGUUCUAAAGCCAAUCAGAAGCCCCGGGGCCAGGAGGGCCAAGCCACUCGGUCCCUAGCUUCAACUGGUCAGUCUUCCGUGUGCCAACAUGCCCUACCAUGCAUAAUUUUCAUUCUCCAACUUCUUUUUUUUUCAAAGUUCUUUUAGUGUUCUUUCCUUCUUAUCUGGAUGAGGUAAGUAGAAAUAGCACUGUGUCCUUCAACAGUUGUCUACACAUCAUCAAUUUUCCCUUGUGGUUCCAGGAAACUUUAAAUGAGACCUUCCCCUCUCUCCAGCCAUUCUGGGCUGUUGUAGCCUCCCCCACGGAUAACCUUUCCUAAAUAUCUGCUGAGCUGUCACAACAGGCAGAGCGUCAUUCGGCCAUUUGUCAUUCGAUAGAUCAAAUCCAUACCACCUGGGGCUGCAAAACUGAAAAUAGAUAGCCCGGUCCCCAGCCAAAGAAAGCUUAAAGGCAAGCUAGAAUAUUUCAGGAACUUGAGUUUAUUUUUAGGAGUUGCCUGAUUGCCCAGAAAGAAGCUUCUCUUGAAGGCUUUGAAUAUUAGGAUAACACGUAAUAGACUGGAGGACUGUAACUUCCUUGAUAUUCAUCUAAAACCUCCAGUCCUGAAACAGAUCCUAAACACCCCUAUAUCUGACCAGCUCUUCUUCAUUCCAUUCCCUCCUAAGGGACAAGAAAUCCUCAGCCAACUGGUGUUACAAUUCUGUCUUCAUUUCUUGAGAGUCAUAGAGUUUGUAAAAUACUGAUUUGAUCUUUUGCUGGGAGAGGCCUGGGUUUCCAUGGUUCACACCCUUCCUAGGAGCUCUGUGAGUUCAGUGGGAGUCUUUGCCUGGUGACAUGGUACGAGUGGAAGGGCACUAGAGCAUGAGCCAUGAGCAUAUGAAUUUAUUGUACAUCUCAGGUGAGGUGAGCUAAGUAGUAACGCUACUAUUAGUAGUAAUAAUUGCUAAUCCCUACAGCCUUUUUAACACACGGCAGGCACUGUUCUAACUGCUUUACUUACAUUAAUGCAGUUAAUGUUGGUAAAAUGGCAUAGAAAUUUAUGACUUGAGGAUUUUGGGUUGUACAUUGCAAACGAAGGGAUAUACCAACUAUUCCAACACAGGCGGGGACCAUGUAAUGGCAAACUCAUGUGAAAUGGGUCACAAAAACGGCUGUCUUCUUUUCCUGCAUGCAUCUGUGUUUUCCUGCAUAGAUGAUGGGAGAUUUCUGGGAAAUGAGAGAGACAGAGUGAGCCAUAAUUUCCAUAAAGUGCAACUGUAUGCAAACAUAAGAAAAGAUGGUGCUAUGAAGCCCCAUGAUUUCUCUUGAAUUCCACUAGGCAUUUCUGAAUAGUCUCUGGGGGGUUUUUUGGUUUUGUUUUGUCUUUUUGCUUUUUUAUUUGCUGUGUCUUAAAAAGACACAGGAGAUGAGAGAAAAAUGGAGUAGGGUGAUGGAAAAAUGAUUUGAGUCUCAGAAAACUGGGGUUUGGUCUUGGAUCUGCUACUAUACAGGAAGUGGCUGUAGAGAAGUCACCAGGUCUCUCAGAGUCUUUCUUCCACAGUAAAGUAAGAGUUAGAUAACACCUCUUGCUUCCCAACAGCUUUGGUGUUCUGUGACCUGCUGCCAAGUAAAUGGGGCCUAAGCUUCACCCCUCAUUUGCAAUCAGAGGUUCCGUGGACUCCUAUGGCUUCUAGAUCUAAUCUUCUCUAUUAACAAUGAGAAUUGUUAGGGAAAAGGAUACAGCAUGUCACCAUGUCACCAUAGGUAGACCGAUUGAAGAUUGAGCCAGUGGGACCCCAGAGAGGGGCAGGAAAGAGACAGUGGGCUGGAGAACGGCUCACCAUGAACAUGCACUCUCUGGAUUCCAAGUUCCUCUGCCUCCCUGGUCUCUUUCCUUCUCCCUCCUCUAGGCAUUAAGUGCCUUGUGUCUUUGGUAGACUGCACUGUGUUGGCGUAUAGACCCUAUGGUUCAUCCUGCAGAGUCCUAGAGGCUUACAGACCUAGUCCAAGCCAGUGAAAAUCAUCACAGCCACAGAAUGCAACACCAGUGGCCUAAGCCUCCAACCUUGUUAGCCCUUUGUAAGAUACAGGCUGCUUUGAAGAGCCAAGAAAAGUUAUGGCUUCUUCCCAGAAAGUCUUGUUUUACCCACACAAUGUUGCACAUAAUUUCCGGGGGGUUUCAGACCCCCUUGGGCCUAUGGAUAUCCUGUUAAGGGCUCGUUGAGCCUCAGAAUGAAUCCCUGCUGUAUGUAGACCAUGAGCCUGGGGUGAGUGGGAUGGUAUUGUUUACGUCCCACAAACUGAAACUUUCCUGCAGAUUUCAGACAAAAUGAUAAGGGGAAAAAAUUAAUUCUUAGUCAGGUUCUAGGAGAGUAUUUUCAAAUCAAUAUCUCUCUUUAUAGUUUUUAGAAUUUGUGAGUAAAAGCAAAACCAAGGUAGUAGCAAUUACCACACUGCAAUGACAAUAAUACAUUACAUAAAGCAAGUUCUUGUAAACUUUAGAAGCAGGAAAUACUUGUCACGAUUACUACACUAGUACUUUGCCUCUUCAGUGUGGGCUUCAAAGUGUACAGCAGUGAUGGUAUUCGGCUAUUGGAAAAUCUGAAUAUAAACAUAAAUAUUAAGCCAGUCACCUGCCUCAGAUGCUCAUACCAAAAAAUGGCGAGAAAAUGCAGGUUUGGGGAUUGAGGAUUCUUUAUAUCCUAUAUCUCUUCUCUAGUAAGUCAGCAGGAUAGUGAUAGGACCUCGGGUUUGGUUUCCUGUGUUUUGUUUUUUUUUUUUCUUUGAGAUGGAGUCUCACUAUGUUGUCCAUAUCACAGUGGUGCGAUCUCGGCUUAUAGCAACAUCUGCCAUCCAGGUUCAAGUGAUUCUCCUGCCUCAGCCUCCCAAGUAGCUGGACUUACAAGCGAGUGCCACCAUGGCCAGCUAAUUUUUGUAUUUUUAGUAGAGAUGGGGUUUUGCCCUGUUAGCCAGGCAGGUCUUGAACUUCUGACUUCAAGUGAUCCACCCACCUCGGCCUCCCAAAGUGCUGGGAUUACAGGCGUGAGUCACCGCGCCCAGCCAGGCUUGGUUUCUUGAUUGGCAGAAAAUAACCCCUCUGGCAGUACAAUCACAGGUGACGCAGCAGGCAACAACGAUUACCUGCUAAGACUGAGAGACAGCUUCAUUCCAAAAAAGAGACAAAAUUUCCUGGGAUAUUGAGAUCGCUGAGAGGGACAACAACAUUAAUGUUGUUCUACUUGGUGCAAUGAGCAUGGUAAAUGCUCAGAAAUUAUGUCAAAUGAGUGAACAUCUAUCCAGUCUGAUCUUUGUCCAACAUCCCUUUGCCAACAUAUGUAGGAAGGUUUUGCCUCUUCAGUCUGGUUCUCUUCUCAUGUCAGAUCUCAGCAUCUCUCUGUUGAGACAUUGAUCUCCUACCUGAAAAUUGCUCCAGGCUCCUGCGUUUUGGUUAAUAUGUAGCUUCUACUAAACUAAAUCUCUUAUUCAUCACUAAUAGUUUGGUGCCUGGUUUGUUGGGGUCUUUUUUAGAUCUAAACCGAAGCUUUAUGUUCUCUUUUGAGUAGAGAGAGAGAAGCAUCUUUUGUUUUAACCACAAAUAAUUGAGGUUUCAAGUAUGUACCACUUAGAAGACAUCAGCAUAACUGUACCGACUAUAGCCAGGCACCAUGCACUGAAAGUGAGGAUGUCCAGUUUACCCUGGGCACAGAGCUAUAAAUUGCAAGGUACAACAGCAGGGUUGCAUUUAAAGAUGAGGGAAAUCAAAGGUAAGAUGUGAACUGAGGAGGACUAUGGUGCAGAUUACACCAGAAAUUCAGGGGCCCCUUUGGAUGGAUCCAUCGAAACAAACUUUCCCCUUGUAGAUGGAAGGAAAAAUAACAAUUCACAGAAAAGUUUCUGGGAAGCUGAAGUUGGUAGGGAAAUGCCUGGAGAACCAAGGAGGAGGAAACAUCUGGAAUUCAAUGUUGUGAUUUGAGCUAGGAAGGCAAAAUAUACACUGAGCUGAUAUUUGUGCAUAUGGUGGCUUGAAAAUUCACACACCUUACUUCUCAGGUGCCUGAGUAAAUGCAAUCCCUUUAUUUUGUCUCUGAAACCGAUCCUGUCUUCCUCAUGGGCCCCCAAUCAGGGAUGUGGGAGAUGAGUGGAAAAUAACAAAAUUUUCUUUCUGAUUAAGCCUAUUCUGGUCCAAUCCCUUGGGCAGUCCUCUAGGGAAUGCUCACUUUCUAGUACUGCUGGCCCCACCCUCUGGAAGACAGUGUCUGAGCUGCCCUGCAUGGGUAGGUGGAAGGGUGGCUAGUUCCUGUGUCCUGAAAGGGAAGCAGGCAAAGCUCUCCUGUCCUCUCAGUUUCCCUUAGCUUGCUCCACCACAAUCCCGGCAUUGCAAAACGUGGAGUCAGGACCUACGUGCCCCUCUCACCCUGACUCUGUCUCCGUCACCUUCCUCCUCCCAGUAGCUCUGAGCAGGGAAGGCUGUGUCCACUUGUCCACACCCUCACACCUGUUUGCUUUCAGAUUGUGCAGAGAUAAGAUUCUCUGAUCUAAGAAGAAAGGAACAUAGAAAACUCUCUCAACAAAGCCAGACUGUAAGGUUAUUGUCCUGCUUAAACAAAUACAAAACCUAUUUAUUUUCAUCUGUUUGCUUUCCACAGCACAACCCUUAUCUAUGCCUCUCUCACAGUACAACCCACAUUCUGGUGUCUAUGACAUACAACCUCCUUCCCCUCCUCCAUCACGUACAACCCCAUCCCCAUCUCCAUCACGUAAAACCCUAUCCCUGCCUUCAUCAUGAACAACCCCAUCUCUGUCUCUAUCACAUACAACCCCAUCCCCAUCUCCAUCACCUACAACCCCAUCCCAUUUCCAUCAUAUAUGACUCUACCCCCAUCUAUAUCAUAUACAACCCCAUCCCCAUCUCCAUCAUAUAUGACUCUACCCCCAUCUAUAUCAUAUACAACCCCAUCCCCAUCUCCAUCACCUACAAUCCCAUCCCCAUCUCUAUCAUAUAUGACUCUACCCUCAUCUAUAUCAGAUACAACCCAUCCCCAUCUAUAUCACAUACAACCACAUCCCCAUCU
rnacentral:lncRNA from 1 species